rnacentral:rRNA from 1 species
CCUACGGGAGGCAGCAGUGGGGAAUAUUGGACAAUGGGCGAAAGCCUGAUCCAGCAAUGCCGCGUGAGUGAAGAAGGCCUUCGGGUUGUAAAGCUCUUUUACCCGGGAAGAUAAUGACUGUACCGGGAGAAUAAGCCCCGGCUAACUCCGUGCCAGCAGCCGCGGUAAUACGGAGGGGGCUAGCGUUGUUCGGAAUUACUGGGCGUAAAGCGUACGUAGGCGGCUUUGUAAGUCAGAGGUGAAAGCCCACGACUCAAUCGUGGAACUGCCUUUGAGACUGCUUCGCUUGAAGAUGGGAGAGGUUAGUGGAAUUCCGAGUGUAGAGGUGAAAUUCGUAGAUAUUCGGAAGAACACCAGUGGCGAAGGCGGCUAACUGGACCAUUCUUGACGCUGAGGUACGAAAGCGUGGGGAGCAAACAGGAUUAGAUACCCUGGUAGUCCACGCCGUAAACGAUGAUAACUAGCUGUCGGGGCUCUUGGAGCUUCGGUGGCGCNGCUACGACAUUAAGUUAUUCCGUCCGUCGGGUAGGUACGGUCCGGCCGAACGGUUAAACCGUUAACGUAAACGGAAAGUUAGUACGGCGUGAGACGUCGCCGACGGACGACGACGACGGGAGGUAGG